rnacentral:rRNA from 2 species
UCUGGCGGCUUUAGCGCGGUGGUCCCACCUGACCCCAUGCCGAACUCAGAAGUGAAACGCCGUAGCGCCGAUGGUAGUGUGGGGUCUCCCCAUGUGAGAGUAGGAAACUGCCAGAC